AUAGAAAGAGUGCUGAGUAUGAAUGAUUGUGUUUCUGGUUCACUGCCUUUGGAGAAUGGAUAAUCUACCAUACAUUACUGUAUAACUAUACUGUAUAACUAUUUUAUGGCACCAAUGACUUUGAAAAUAGCAACAAUGGGGCUUUAUUCUCAGAUUCUGGAGUUAAACAUAGUAUGAGAAUUGGUGUGAUAAAGAUAUGAAGAUUUUCAGAAGCCUGUUGCCAAUAAAUAUCACCUAUAAUAUCCACGAUCGGAUACUUCUGUGCACAAAAUACAUGCAGUUCUGACAUCAGCUCUGAGGACAAUGAAAACUCCAUAGUAAUUGCUAUGAAAAGGGAGACAAAGGGCUGAGACACAAAAUCCAUGCUCUGAAAGACAUGACACAGGAUCUCCAGAGGCAGUACAGGGUAUAAUUAAGGAUCAGAGUCAGGGAACAGAGAUGCUGCUAGAAACAACAAGCACAAAGAACAGCCAUGGAAAUAAGGGACUACGAAGAGGCAGAACCAGGCUGCUGGAGACCACAUGCAGAAUCCCCGCAGGCAUCAAUGCAUGCCCAGUCUUCCAAGAAAACCAUUGAAUUGCUGUGUGUUAGGGAUAUUGGAUAGCUUUCAAGCCACUUUUGCAAACUGAAUGUAAGCUCUGAAAUUACUUAGAAGUAAACUAUCCAAUUUGGCAUCA